rnacentral:lncRNA from 1 species
GACGGACCUAGGUGAGGACAGGUAUUUCCUGCCCAAAUGUUGCAUUUCCCAAGACCACCCUGGCCUGCCACGCCCCCAUCUUGGGCCUAUAAAAACCCGAGGCGCCCUACCCCCAGCAGGUAGACACAAAAAGCGGCUGAGCAUUGUGAGGAACACGUCGGCAGAGGAAGAUACAAGCCACUGGUCAUCGAGGGCACACUGGCAGAAGAGCACGCCAACAGGCACUAGCAGGUCGACAAGCCGGGCCAUAGACUGGUGGAAUGACGCGAAGUUUUCCAGGGGAAAACCAUCUCCCUUCUGGCUCCCCCAUCUGCUAAGAGUUACUUCUACUCAAUAAGACCUUGUACUCAUUCUCUAAGCCCGUGUGUGCUCCAAUUCUCCUGGUACACCAAGACUCUGAUAACUUCAAGAGAUCCUAUGGAAAAUCCACUAACAAAAUAGUAACGUUUGUGAAAAGAUGUUGCCAGUUCAAAAGUGCAGAAGCCAUACACACAGAGAAACUAGCUGUCACACAGAGGGUGAACAAGGAUUGUCAGGAUGUGACUAUGGAAGCCAGGAACUUGAAUGACAUGUGAUUUAUAUGAUGUAUUUAUUUCUCCCCCACUACCAUUCCUUGAGUAUACUGUUUUUUCCACCUUCAAUCUGAAGAAUUAUAGAAAUAAAAAAAGUCAAGAUAAUCAUUAAUGAAAAGGGUCAUUAGAAUGAUACCAAAUUUCAACUUCCAAUGGCACAUGGACACUGUAGAGAUCAAUGUGAUCUGAAAUUUUACUAACAGUUUUUAAUUACUGUCUCUCUUUAAAAUGAUCUGAUUGUAUUUUCCUGAAAACAAUAAUCAUCUAGAAGCAUUGCAAUAUCCAUAUUGUUACCCCCACCUUUUAUCCAUAUUGAUUAAGCUAUCUAUCCUGAGAUUAAAUUUACAAAAUAGAUUUAACAAGUUUUGGUGAUGUAAUAUAGCCUCCCAAUUAUGCAACUGUUACUCCUAAUAUUACCUAAGAAAGAUGUUUGAAUGGAACCACUGAAUUAAAGUCUUGGAAGAAUUUUAUUUAGUCUAGGGCUGAUUGCAUUUUAAUUUUUGUAAACAUUUGCUAGUUGUCAAUACUCACUUUUACUUCUUGAAAGACUUAAUAUACAUUCUGGGACCCUAAAG